UUCGUUAGCCCGCAACUGUUGACUAUGUCAGGACCGGAAGGUAGCAGCAAAAAACAGAUGCGGGUGACUUUUUU
rnacentral:SRP_RNA from 1 species